CCGCCGAAAGGCCGCCGCCGCCCCUCGCGCCCCUCCGCCGAGUCGCCCACCGCCGAAGAUCCCCCGCCGCCGAAGCUCCCCCGCCGAAUCCUGCCCAGGUGGUGGCUGCUGUAGGUUUUAAAGGAAGAAGGCUUGAAAUCCCGAAAGAUCUGAAUCCUCUAGUAGCCGCGUUAAUUGAAUCUUGCUGGGCAAAUGAGCCAUGGCGAAGACCCUCAUUUACAAAUAUUAUGGAAGCUUUGAGACCAUUAAUUAAGGUUCCAGUGCCGCAGCUGAUUCGUUCAGAUUCGUAGCCUGCUUUAUAGAGUUACAGGAAGGUGUAUUUUAGUGAGUUGUCGUGAUAAGAUCAACACGAAGGAGGGUUUUGAAUUGACCUGCUAUAACUGAAUAAUCCAUUGUCAGCAUCACUUCAUUCUGAGAAUAUGGUUUCCUGCAUCUACACUUUCAAAUAAAGUGUACCUAGCAACUUCUUUCCAUAUCUCCAGGUCUGCAUGUUGCUUCAAUGGAUAUCAGAUGGAACUGUUAGUCUAACUUCCCCAUGAGAUGUGGGAUGACAUCCUUUGCUAAUUUGGAUUUUCAGUUUGUUUCUUAUACGGAGUUAUCCUGUGAUGAUAUCUAGCUCACAUCAGAGAAUGCACGUUGGGUUCAAAUUUCCUGACCAUUUCCUAUAAAUUCCAGUCUAUAGAUUUCUUUGUACAGUAUGUAACUACAGGUAGCCAUGAAAACAAAAGAUUUUGGCUGACUUGCUUCAGGCCUUUGAUUCUAUUACUGACCUAGACCAAGCAGUGCAGUUCCGUAGAAGCUGAUGUAUAUCUGUAUGUAUGCCUGUUUCUUCAUCUCUUGUAAAUUGUAAUGUAACAUACCACGAAAUUAGGUGAGUGAUAGUACAUGCCUACUAUUCCGGAAAGAUACAA